GUUUGAUCCUGGCUCAGGACGAACGCUGGCGGCGUGCUUAAACACAUGCAAGUCGAACGGUAAGGCCCUUCGGGGUACACGAGUGGCGAACGGGUGGAGUAACGCGUGAGUAACCUGCCCUUGACUCUGGGAUAACAGAUGGAAACGUCUGCUAAUACCGGAUACUCAGCCUUGUGGGCAUCCACAGGGUUGGAAAGCUCCGGCGGUCAAGGAUGGACUCGCGUCCUAUCAGCUAGUUGGUGGGGUAAUGGCCUACCAAGGCGACGACGGGUAGCCGGCCUGAGAGGGCGACCGGCCACAUUGGGACUGAGAUACGGCCCAGACUCCUACGGGAGGCAGCAGUGGGAAUAUUGCACAAUGGGCGCAAGCCUGAUGCAGCAACGCCGCGUGCGGGAUGACGG
rnacentral:rRNA from 1 species